rnacentral:tRNA from 1 species
GUGAGCUUGGCCGAGCGGUCUAAGGCGCUAGACUCAAGUUCUAGUCUCGAAAGAGGCGUGGGUUCAAAUCCCACAGCUCACA